GAAUCGCUAGUAAUCGCGGAUCAGCAUGCCGCGGUGAAUACGUUCCCGGGCCUUGUACACACCGCCCGUCAAACCAUGAGAGUUGGCAACACCCGAAGUCGGUAGUCUAACCGCAAGGAGGACGCCGCCGAAGGUGGGGUUGAUGAUUAGGGUUAAGUCGUAACAAGGUACC
rnacentral:rRNA from 1 species